AUGGUAGAUGACUACUCGAGAUACAUGUGGGUCAUUCUCCUACGAUCUAAAGAUGAGGCGUUUGAAGCGUUCAAGAAGCUGAAGGCUGCAACGGAGAUGGAACACAAGCUGAAGGUUCGCGCUCUACGGACAGAUCGCGGCAGAGAGUUUACGUCGAACGAGUUCAACGACUACUGCGAGAAGAUUGGCAUAAAAAGGUUCCUCACAGCACCUUAUACGCCACAGCAGAACGGGGUUGUUGAAAGGCGCAAUCGAACCGUCGUUGACAUGGCAAGAAGUUUACUCAAGAGCAAGAACUUGCCGGGGACAUUUUGGGGAGAAGCUGUCUCGACGGCGGUCUAUCUUCUCAAUCGGGCUCCAACGAAGGCGGUGAUUGGCAAGACUCCGUAUGAAGCAAUUUACGGACGUAAGCCGAAUGUGUCUCAUCUACGGACGUUCGGGUGCGUGGCGCAUGUGAAGACGGCGGAGCCGCAUCUCUCAAAGCUUGCCGAUCGCAGCACCAAGAUGGUGUUCAUCGGACACGAGAGGAGUUCCGACACCAAGGCAUACCGCUUCUACGAUCCACGAACCAAGCGUCUACGGAUUUCACGCGACGUCGUGUUUGAAGAAAACCAAGCGUGGAAUUGGAGCGCAGCAGCCGACGAUGCUCCAAACGAUAACAUAUUCACAGUUGAAUUUCCAACUGAUGAUGAUGCAUGGGAAGAUGUCCAGGUGGUUGGCAAGACACACAACCAAGGUGACCGCAAUGGCAGUGAUCACCAUGGUGCCGACACCGACGACGACGCGCAUGGGUCGCAAGGUGAUAGCGACAACAAGGCGCAAGACACGGGUAGAGAUCUCGGCAACGACAUCGACAACGAGGCGCAUAGUAAUGAUGACAAUCAAGAUGAUGGUCACGGUCACGACGACUACGCCGAUGACGCCGAUGCCAACGACCCGACAUCUACCACACCCGAGACUCAACCGUCUUCCUCAAGUGCAUUGGCGCCGACACAAAUUUGUGUCGCCUCCUUCGCAAGCCACAACGGAUUCUUCCGGGCCUCGUCGCUACAAGACCCUCAAGAAAGUCUACAAGUACGCAAAGCCAGUUACACUCGAGUACUCCGAUUUGUGUUUACUCGGAGUUGA
rnacentral:rRNA from 1 species